UACGGAGGGUGCGAGCGUUGUCCGGAAUCAUUGGGCGUAAAGGGCGCGUAGGUGGCCUGCUAAGCGUGCGGUGAAAGUCGGGGGCUCAACCCCCGAUCGGCCGUGCGAACUGGGAGGCUUGAGCACUGUAGAGGCAGGCGGAAUUCCGGGUGUAGCGGUGGAAUGCGUAGAGAUCCGGAGGAACACCGGUGGCGAAGGCGGCCUGCUGGGCAGUUUUGCUGACACUGAGGCGCGACAGCGUGGGGAGCAAACAGG
rnacentral:rRNA from 1 species